rnacentral:rRNA from 1 species
UACGUAGGGCGCAAGCGUUGUCCGGAAUUAUUGGGCGUAAAGAGCUCGUAGGCGGCUUGUCACGUCUGCUGUGAAAUCCCGGGGCUCAACCCCGGGCCGUGCAGUGGAUACGGGCUGGCUAGAGGUAGGUAGGGGCAAGCGGAAUUCCUGGUGUAGCGGUGAAAUGCGCAGAUAUCAGGAGGAACACCGGUGGCGAAGGCGGCUUGCUGGGCCUUACCUGACGCUGAGGAGCGAAAGCGUGGGGAGCGAACAGG